GACGAACGCUGGCGGCGUGCCUAAUACAUGCAAGUGGGACGCAAGGAAACACACUGUGCUUGCACACCGUGUUUUCUUGAGUCGCGAACGGGUGAGUAACGCGUAGGUAACCUGCCUAUUAGCGGGGGAUAACUAUUGGAAACGAUAGCUAAUACCGCAUAAUAUUAAUUAUUGCAUGAUAAUUGAUUGAAAGAUGCAAGCGCAUCACUAGUAGAUGGACCUGCGUUGUAUUAGCUAGUUGGUAAGGUAAGAGCUUACCAAGGCGACGAUACAUAGCCGACCUGAGAGGGUGAUCGGCCACACUGGGACUGAGACACGGCCCAGACUCCUACGGGAGGCAGCAGUAGGGAAUCUUCGGCAAUGGACGAAAGUCUGACCGAGCAACGCCGCGUGAGUGAAGAAGGUUUUCGGAUCGUAAAGCUCUGUUGUAAGUCAAGAACGUGUGUGAGAGUGGAAAGUUCACACA
rnacentral:rRNA from 1 species